rnacentral:rRNA from 1 species
AUUGAACGCUGGCGGCAUGCCUUACACAUGCAAGUCGAACGGCAGCGGGCCUUCGGGUGCCGGCGAGUGGCGAACGGGUGAGUAAUGCAUCGGAACGUGCCAUUGAGUGGGGGGUAACGUAGCGAAAGUUACGCUAAUACCGCAUAUUCUGUGAGCAGGAAAGCAGGGGACCGCAAGGCCUUGCGCUCUUUGAGCGGCCGAUGUCAGAUUAGCUAGUUGGUGAGGUAAAGGCUUACCAAGGCGACGAUCUGUAGCGGGUCUGAGAGGAUGAUCCGCCACACUGGAACUGAGACACGGUCCAGACUCCUACGGGAGGCAGCAGUGGGGAAUUUUGGACAAUGGGCGCAAGCCUGAUCCAGCCAUGCCGCGUGAGUGAAGAAGGCCUCGGUUGUAAGACUCUUUCGGUCCGGGAACGGAAAGUACG